AAAGGUCAUUUGUCAAUAGACAGCCUUUAAGAUAUCAAACUAGAUAAUGAACAAAAUAGUCUUACACAUUGUCAUCAUAAACGAAGGGGAGGACAAUCAAAGAGUCCAGUGCACAUUCUGAACAGAAGGAUGAUAACCCUUAGACUGGUCCAGUUCCAUGUAUUGUCUUCCAUCACCAUGCUGAGCCAUCCCAAGCUCGCCACAGUAUGGAUUAUCAGAAGCUUGUAACAUUUGACCCAAA
rnacentral:misc_RNA from 1 species